UACCGGGUGGCGACCGGCGCACGGGUGAGUAACGCGUAUGCAACCUGCCCGAUACCGGGGUAUAGCCCAUGGAAACGUGGAUUAACACCCCAUAGUACUUUUAUCCUGCCUGGAAUGGGAGUUAAAUGUUCAAGGUAUCGGAUGGGCAUGCGUCCUAUUAGUUAGUUGGCGGGGUAACAGCCCACCAAGACGAUGAUAGGUAGGGGUUCUGAGAGGAAGGUCCCCCACAUUGGAACUGAGACACGGUCCAA
rnacentral:rRNA from 1 species